GUGUCAUGUCCUGCAAAGAGACCUAAACUGACAUUGUCAAUGUUUGAAAAGUCAAGGUUUGGAGGCUCACAUGUGGCAGCAGCAAAACCUAAUUUGAGCACCCAGAGGAAAACCUCUCAGAUGUUAGAGCACUCCAGUUCAGCUACAGUUUCAUGUCCACCCUCUGAUCCUCAUCCUCCUCCAUCCCCCAAACCUCAUCAGCCCGUCAUCCAGUCCUCCUCUUCCUUCUUCCUUCCUCCACCUCAGAGUUCACAAC